GCACCGGCUAAUACGUGCCAGCAGCCGCGGUAAUACGUAUGGUGCAAGCGUUAUCCGGAUUUACUGGGUGUAAAGGGAGUGUAGACGGUUGUGUAAGUCUGAUGUGAAAACCCGGGGCUCAACCCCGGGACUGCAUUGGAAACUAUGCGACUAGAGUAUCGGAGAGGUAAGCGGAAUUCCUAGUGUAGCGGUGAAAUGCGUAGAUAUUAGGAGGAACACCAGUGGCGAAGGCGGCUUACUGGACGAUCACUGACGUUGAGGCUCGAAAGCGUGGGGAGCAAACAGGAUUAGAUACCCUGGUAGUCCACGCCGUAAACGAUGACUACUAGGUGUCGGGUAGCAAAGCUAUUCGGUGCCGCAGCAAACGCAAUAAGUAGUCCACCUGGGGAGUACGUUCGCA
rnacentral:rRNA from 1 species